GGGAGGGUUUAGGGAACUGAUGAUAAUGCCAUUGAGAAGAUUAAACAUGCAUAACUUCUGCAGAUUGGAGAAAGGGGUGUUACUGAAAGGCUUUCCUUGUUUUGGGGAAUGUUGGGGUUCAUGGUAUAUAGCCUCUGUGUGCAUUUCGUCUGAGAAUCCUGCAUGAAAGAGGCUUGAGCUUGGUGAGAAAGAAAGUUUGGAGAUCUUCAGCUUCAUGACACUGAUGUUGUAUUGCCAGAAGCUGUGAGGUACCAAGACGAACUAGCAAGAGCUUCCCGGGUGGUUUUUGUGAAGAAUUACAAUAUGUUUCCAACGACAUGCUAGUGGCAUUGGAUACUGCUGGGUCAACUAUAAUUUCAAGAUGUUUUGGGCACGGUCAGAGUGACAGGUUUCGGCAAAAUAGAGGUGGUAGAAAAAAUUGAUAGCUCAGCUGCUAUUAUUGAUCCUGUCUCUGUCUUAGAAGGGCAACAAGCUUCCGCCAUUGUUCAAAAAGGUGAAAGCAAUUACUGUAAAACAAGUUAAUGACUUGAUUAGUGGUAAUCUGCUGAAGGAAACAAUUGUUAUGGACCAACAAAGAGGGAAUGUAUGAACAGUUAUAUUCGAACAGACAGGAGAUAUGGAUUGGGGGCUUUGAUUGUCACGGAGGAUCAUUCACUAUUGCUGCUGCAACAGGGUGAGAGAAAGUGAGUUUAAUCUACAAAAGUGUUAUUUGCGCGAAACUGUCAUGGAUUCAAUUAAUUCUCAAAAAGCUUCAUUCUCUAACAUCAUAUGAGGCACAACUCUGCCUCCAUAUUGCAAUCUUAACUCAAGAAAAUCUGCGCAGAAGGGGAACGGGCGGGACGGAGUUUGAUAGCAGUUGAAUAGGACUUGAAUCACUUGCUUAUCUGAAGCUUCACAAACAUCAAGUGAUCAGCAAGAGCAUAAAAGUAUAGGACCGAUGGUUUAUAUCAACAAAAUGUGGAUAACAAAUCAAUCUUCUUUUCACCAGUCUUUGACGUUUGUGUUUUAUAAUACUGUAAAUUUCACAUGGGAAAAAAAAUAAUAAUAACAGAGGUACUCUUAGGCAUCAA